rnacentral:lncRNA from 10 species
CGGGGUUUCACCAUGCUGGCCAGGCUGGUCUCAAACUCCUGAACUCAAGUGAUCUGCCUGCUUCAGCCACCCAAAGUGCUAGGAUUACAGGCAUGAGCCACCACGCCUGACCAAAGCCAUAAUCUUUUGAAGAGACAGCAAGAGCACUCUGUGGAGUUGUCAUACUUAAGUAUGUAAUUAAGCACAUAAAUACAAAUAAAAUCACUGUGGAUUAUUCUUUUCAGUUUGUUUCCCAUGACAAUAGUUGUCUCUUUCCUUCCUUCCUUCCUUUUCUUUCUUUCUCUUUCUUUCUUUUUCUUUCUUUCUUUCUUUCAUUUCUUUCUCUUUCUCUCUCUCUUUUUUUUUUUAAGAAGCAGGGUCUCUUUCCGUUGCCCAGGCUGCAGUGCAGUGGUGCAGUCAUAGCUCAUUGUAACCUCAAACCUAGACUCGAGAGAUACCCCGCACCUCAGCCUCCUGAGUGGCUGGGACUGCAGGUGUGCACCACCACAUUCAACUAAUUUUAAAAAUUUUUCUGUACAGAUGGGGGUCUUGAUAUGUUGCCCAAGCUGAUCUUGAACUCCUGGCCUCAAGCAAUCUUCCAGACUUGGCCUCCCAAAGUGCUGAGAUUACAGGUGUGAGCCACCAUACCCAGUCUAUACUUUAUCUGAAGAAAAUUUCUUGAAAAGUUCUAUUUCUUCAAUCAUGCCUCCCACAAGUUUGAAGUCAACAUGGCAAGUUAAGGACAAGUUAGAUGAGAUCCCCCUAGUUCAUAACCGGCCAGGCCAGCACCGCAGAGCUGGGCCGCCCGCCGGGACACGGCUCCGCACACCUCCUUCACCACGAUGCUGUCCUCACACGUGCUGUCCAGGCCCAGCUGCUGCAGAAUCCUCCUGACCUGGAGAAGGGCCAGCCGAUCGCUGCAGGCAAUAGAGCAGGGAGUCAGGACCUGCUUCCCAGGACCCCGGGAUGUGCCCAGUGUGACCCACAGCCUCCCCAUUCUUAGAUGCCCUUACAGGAGGGAGGAGAAAUUGACCCAGGCAAUGGCUAGGCUGGAGCAGAAUGCCUUAGAAGCCGAGACUCAAGAAGGUCCACCACCCCUGGAAGUUCCAUCAACUUUAAAAAAUAAAGUGUGAAUGCCUCUGGUGUUCAGCAUGUUCAUAUCUGUGAUCUCACUAGAAGCCAUAUGAGCUGCAGCAACCAACACACCAGGUACCCAUUUUUCAGAAGAGGAGGCUGUGGCUCAGCCUGCUAGAGCUGUGCCCUCUCGUUAGAGAGCAGGGGCUCAAAUUCAAGCCUUUUCACACCACCUCUCGCACUUUCCCACAAAUCGUGCCAGCUCCCACACUCUGGCCCCCUUCAAUUGGAGGCCAACUUUCCUUCUAUUUAACUUUUUCUGAUUCUCUGCACUUUCUUCCCUUUUUCUCAUUUCUCUGCUCUUUGACAGUAAGACUAUAUCUUCAGUAGUAGCCAGCAGGGUAUAUUCAAUGAGCAAGUGAAUAAAUGAAUAUACAAAAUACAAUCAGAACCUUAGAGAAGGGGAACCUGAUAGGACUGUAAACACAUGCAGAGAAACACCCAUCAUAGGGGCAGGCUGGCUUCAAGUCUAGACCCUGGUCAUCUCACAGUGAACUAAUGGUACUUAAACGGAGCCCUGACUCCCACACCAAGCAAUGUGAAGUUGUAUCCUUGACUGUCUCAGGUAAUACUUAGAGAAGAAGAGUGUUAUCAAGAAAGACAAUUGAGAAACAACCUAUAUGACCAUACAGGGGAUUCAGCAGGUAAAUGGCGGUGUAGCCAAACAAUAGAAUUCUUCAUAGAUCUUAAAGAUGAGUUUGUGGCCAGCACAGUGGCUUACACCUGUAAUCCCAGCACUUUAAGAGGCUGAGGCAGGAGAAUCACUUUAGGCCAGGAAUUUGAGACCAGCCUGGGCUACAUAACAAGACCCCAUCUCUAAAAAAUUUUAAAUGAGCCAGACAUGAUUGUGUAUGCCUAUAGUCCCUAUUUGGAGGCUGAGGCAUGAGGAUUGCUUGAGCUCAGGAGUUUGAGGUUGCAGUGAGCCAUGAUCAUACCACUGUACUCCAGCCUGGGUAAUAGCGUAAGAUCUUGUCUCAAAAAAAAAAAAAAGAUGAGUUUGCGUGAGAAUAUUUCACACCAUGGAAAAUCUUCAUGACAUAGUGAAAAAAUAGAUUAUAAAAUACUAUGCACUGUAUGAUGCUGGCUUUUUGUUUUAAUGUUUGCCCUUGCCCAGAUUAAAAAAAGACACACACACACACACACACACACACACACACACACACACACACAGAAGGAAAUCUAUUCAGACAUUGGGAGGAUUACAGGUAAUUCUCUUCUUUUUGAGGCGGAGUUUCACUCUUGUUGCCCAGGUUGGAGUGCAAUGAUGUCGGCUCACCCGCUUCCUGGGUUCAAGCGAUUCUCCUGCCUCAGCCUCCCAAGUAGCUGGGAUUAUAGGCCCACCACCAUGCCCAGCUAAUAUUUGUAUUUUUAGUAGAGACAGAGUUUCACCAUGUUGGCUACCUGACCUCAGGUGAUCUGCCUGCCUUGGCCUCCCAAAGUCCUGGGAUUACAGGCAUGAGCCACCACACGUAGCUUAAUUCUUAUUUUUCUUCCUUUGUUUAUCUGUAUUUUUUAGAUUCUCUAAAAUGAAUGAAUAACAUUUGUAUAGUAAGAAAAAGAGGUUUUUUAACUGGUGUGUCUAAAGAGAAAGCCUGCAAUUCCUUCCUGGGCCCAGCCUUUCACAGCUUACCUAGUUCAAGUACAUUCCCUUCCUGAUCCUCAGAGCAAUCCUGGGGGUUAAGCAACAGGGCAAUUAUUUCUGUUAUGAAGCAGGAAACUGAGGUUCAAAGAGGUGAAACAACCUGCCCCAGGUCACGCAGCAUAAACAGGUUAAGUAGUGGAGAUAAAUCUUAAAACUCAAGCUCUAAGACUGUAAAUUCAGGGCACUUCCCCCGGAGAACACUGUCCCAUCCAUUUGACAAACUGCUUUGAAAUGGGCUGCAGUCAGCACAGCACCUACCAAUUCCCACUGGCACUAGGUGGAUAUGAUUUUUUUUUUAUUCCAUGAAGCUUUUAAAAAACAAAACCUGGCCAGGCGCGGUGGCUCAUGCCUGUAAUCCUACCACUUUGGGAGUUCUAGGCAGAUGGAUGGCUUGAGCCCAGGAAUUCAAGAUCAACCUGGGCGACAUGGUGAAACUCCAUCUCUAUAAAAAAUACAAAAAUUAGCUAGGUGUGGUGGUGUGUGCCUGUAGUCCCAGCUACUUGACAGGGAAUGGGAGCAGGGGAGAGGAGCAGUGGUGGCAGCUGAGGUGGGAGGAUCACUUGAACCCGGGAGGUUGAGGAUGCACUGAGCUGUGAUUGCAACACAGCACUCCAGCCCAGGCAACAGAGUGAGACCCUGUCUCAGAAAACAAAAACAAAACAACAACAGAAACCUGUAGAAAUCAAAACAUCCAAAACAGACACCUCUUGUGCAGCAGAAGCAAAUCUUUCUGGUGGCAUAAGAGUGUUACCACCUUGUGCUUGUCUAGGAACAACUUUUCUUUUAUUACGGAAAAAAAAAAAAGCAAGGCAAAGAUAAGUAAACUUGUCGGUCUAUUGCUUAUGAGGGAGAAGCUGUUUUACACAGCAAAACAGGAUCCCUUUGGUCACCAAGCGUGAUGAUUUUUAACCCAUCUGUUCAGAUUGGAUGGGUUGAAGACUAGACAGGAGAAGGAUGCUGAACACUUGCUAAUUUACACCCCAAAAAUACAUAAUCGCUGCUGCUGUUACUGAUUCCACCAUCCUCUCCUUAAACAAUAAGAACUCCCCUUAAACAGCCCAUCUGAUUUGCCUCAUUAAGUAAACCACUUUCAUGUAUAAUGUGUUUCUUUUUUCCCCGCUGAAAAGUGAUUUUUCACUUGUGGGCAUCUGACCAUAAAGACCAAGAGAAUUAAAUGAAUGAACACAAAUGGAGAGAAAAUCCAAACACAAAGCAUCAGAUAACAUCCAGUGCUAGCACAAAAAGCAGUGAAACUGACACAUUUGUACAUAACUGAUGGUGAUGGAAAUUGAAACUACUUUAAAAAAAAAAACACUGCGCCCAUGGUGAAAUACUCUUUUAACCAAAUGUUUCUACUACUAAGGAAAUGAUUUACUGUAUUCAAAUGACUAUGUGUACUAAAAGAAAAACUAUGGUGUUACUCAGAAUAACAGGAAUUUAUAAAUUACAAACUAGACAUCCUAUAUUAAAGGGAAAGUUUAGUAAAUUAUAGUACAGUAACAUAGUAUAAUAUGCAGCCAUUCAAAAUGAUAAUUACACCAAAGAGUUGAUAGGGGAAAGUUCCUCUUUCUAGAAGUAUUCCAGCUAAUAACUGCAGGAAUCAUCACCAUUUACGAUGUCUAGUGAAAUAAUAGAUCCAGGCAAUAUGCAUCAAUGACUGAUAACAUCCUAAAAGAAAGAGAGACAGACAGACAACUCAAUGCCACCUAGAAAAUAUUCUUGUCCAGAAUUCACUACUGAAUCUAAUUAAGCAUCUGGGUCUAACUAUGAGUUUUUGGGAAAUACAAGAAGACAGAGGAAAAUGCUAAAUGCUGCAAUCCACAAAAUCUAGAAUACAGGAAACUCAUAGAUAAGACAACAGUUUCUUCAACAAAUACAUUGCAAGGGAAAGUAAGAGAGGGAGAGGAAACCCAUAGAUUAAAAGAGAUUCUUUAAGCAUAUCAACCAAAUGCAGUUUAUAAACUUUGUCUGGAUACUGAUGCAAACAAAAGAACUGUAAAAACCAUUAAUUUUUGGCAAUUCAGGAAAUAAGAACACUAACAGGAUAUUUUGUGAGAUUGAGGUUUAUCAUUAGCUUUUUAAGUGUGAUAAUGGUACUGUAGUUAUGUUUUAUUAAGAAUCCUUAUAUUUCAGAAAUACAUUAUGAAAUAUUUAUAGAUGAACUGAUGUAAGAUGUGG